AUUGAACGCUGGCGGCAGGCCUAACACAUGCAAGUCGAGCGAGCGGCGGACGGGUGAGUAAUGUAUGGGAAACUGCCCGAUGGCGGGGGAUAACUACUGGAAACGGUAGCUAAUACCGCAUACCAUCGGGUGUGCCCAGAUGGGAUUAGCUAGUAGGGGGGGUAACGGCUCACCUAGGCGACGCUCCCUAGCUGGUCUGAGAGGAUGACCAGCCACACUGGAAUUGAGACACGGUCAAGACUCCUACGGGAGGCAGCAGUGGGGAAUAUUGCACAAUGGGCGCAAGCCUGAUGCAGCCAUGCCGCGUGGAUGAAGAAGGCCUUCGGGUUGGAAAGUACUUUCAGCGAGGAGGCGUUACUCGCAGAAGAAGCACCGGCUAACUCCGUGCCAGCAGCCGCGGUAAUUC
rnacentral:rRNA from 1 species